UUGAAGAACCACUUCACUAUUCAAGGGCAUCAAGGCAGGCUGCUCCAUAGAAUCCAUUUUCUUCCAUAAAUUAAAGUGAAUAAUAUGAUUCAUAUUUCAAUUAGAACCAACUAGAAUUCAACUAUUGUGUGAAGUGAGGUCACCCACAGUGAUCGGCAGGGCAGACCACAGAACAACAAAUGCAAAGGAUCACGCCAGCUGUGACAGAGAAUGCUGAUGGAGCCAUCUUCCUGUACUACCAAGAGUUCUACAUCACCUAUUGUCUUUAAUGAGGAGGCUUCAAGAAGGUUUGGUCUUGACCUGGAGAAGAUGGGAACUCCACACCACAGCCUGGAGAUCAUGUCAAGAUGAUGAGGGAGAUGAACAUGUGAGGAGGUGGAGAGAAGUGAAGAUGAAGACUACAAAAUAUGGUGAAUCGUAGAUGUUACAAUGAUUUUGGGGAAGGAGUGGAGAAAUACAUGGAAGAUGCAGCUCUUAUUUAAGCUUGAAGAGUUGCCUUGAGUUCUGUCCUUUAGUAGAAAGUUGGGCUAUGAAGUCUAUGAAAUGGGAAGGCUGGUGGUCACGUCUCCUUUUCAUUUUUUGAGAUGGGGAGACCUUAUGUCCCUUGAACAUGAACUGCUAAUUCUGGAGGCCUUCAGCAUCAGGGAAGACAAACAAAUAAAUAUGGGGAAGACUCUGGGGUGGUCCAAAAUGCAUUUGAAGGCAGUACACAUUCGGAUUCAGUUUGUCCACUGCUUUGUAACAGUUUGACGUGUGUCUCUCCCCUAAUGAUUGUAACUGCACCACCCCCAAGUCCUAGGGACCUUGGGAAACUACAUUGGACUUCCUUCUUUGAUCCUCUCCCCCCAAUUAGAUUUCCAGAAAGAAUUAAAUGUACAUUUUAUUUUUAAAAUUUACCGGCGCCAAGAAUAUGUCCUUCCUUUCGACAGUCAUAAACUAAGCACAAAAUUUUGCCAUCCGUGGCUAUUAUAAUUCCUAUUUUUUCCCCUUUGUAUGU